UACGUAGGGGUCGAGCGUUGUCCGGAGUUACUGGGCGUAAAGCGCGCGUAGGCGGAUUGUUAAGUCAGGGGUGAAAUGCCGAGGCUCAACCUCGGAACUGCCUUUGGUACUGGCAAUCUUGAGUCCGGGAGAGGUGAGUGGAACUCCUAGUGUAGAGGUGAAAUUCGUAGAUAUUAGGAAGAACACCAGUGGCGAAGGCGGCUCACUGGCCCGGAACUGACGCUGAUGUGCGAAAGCGUGGGGAGCAAACAGG
rnacentral:rRNA from 1 species